GAAGUGCGAUAAGCAAUGCGAAUUGCAGAACCGUGAGUCAUCAGAUUUUUGAACGCAACUGGCGCCGGAUGGCUCUCCAUCCGGCAUGCUUGUUUCAGUGUCUCUUUUUCUCAUCACCCAUAUCAUAAUGCGAGAGAUACCCUUCUCUUGCUAAGCUCGAAAGCACUCUGCGCUCUGCGAGCGGCUUCGACUUGUUCGAGGGUCGCACUCAAUGCAGCAGUCACAUUGUUACAAUGUGAACUCAUUGAGAGCUGAGGCAGUGUAGCGUAAGCUACCAGUGCUUAGUCACGCAAACUUUACUUGCAUCUGAAAUCAAGCAGGAUCACCCGCUGAACUUAA
rnacentral:misc_RNA from 1 species